CCUACGGGUGGCAGCAGUGAGGAAUAUUGGUCAAUGGGCGCGAGUCUGAACCAGCCAAGUAGCGUGAAGGAUGACUGCCCUACGGGUUGUAAAAUUCUUUUAUAAAGGAGUAAAGUGAGGCACGUGUGCCUUUUUGUAUGUACUUUAUGAAUAAGGAUCGGCUAACUCCGUGCCAGCAGCCGCGGUAAUAAGGAGGAUCCGAGCGUUAUCCGGAUGUAUUGGGUUUAAAGGGAGCGUAGAUGGGUUGUUAAGUCAGUUGUUAAAGUUUGCGGCUCAACCGUAAAAUUGCAAUUGAUACUGGCAGUCUUGAGUUCAGUUGAGGUAGGCGGAAUUCGUGGUGUAGCGGUGAAAUGCUUAGAUAUCACGAAGAACUCCGAUUGCGAAGGCAGCUUACUAAACUGCCACUGACAUUGAUGCUCGAAAGUGUGGGUAUCAAACAGGAUUAGAUACCCUAGUAGUC
rnacentral:rRNA from 1 species